UACGGAGGGGGCGAGCGUUAUUCGGAAUUAUUGGGCGUAAAGGGCGCGUAGGCGGCCUGAUAAGUCAAAGGUGAAAUCCCUCGGCUCAACUGAGGAAUUGCCUUUGAAACUGUCAGGCUUGAGGCCGGGAGGGGGUGGCGGAAUUCCCAGUGUAGCGGUGAAAUGCGUAGAUAUUGGGAGGAACACCAGUGGCGAAGGCGGCCACCUGGACCGGUUCUGACGCUGAUGCGCGAAAGCGUGGGGAGCAAACAGG
rnacentral:rRNA from 2 species